rfam:Felis catus isolate Cinnamon breed Abyssinian chromosome E2, whole genome shotgun sequence.
ACCUGGGUGGCUCAGUCGGUUGAGCGUCUGACUUCAGCUCAGGUCAUGAGCUCGCGGUCCGCGGGUUUGAGCCCCGCCUCGGGCU